rnacentral:tRNA from 1 species
CGGGGUGUAGCGCAGCCUGGUAGCGCACCUGCAUGGGGUGCAGGGGGUCGGAGGUUCGAAUCCUCUCACCCCGACCA